rnacentral:misc_RNA from 1 species
UUUCCGUAGGUGAACCUGCGGAAGGAUCAUUAUUGAAUGAAACACUUCUGGCUUUAUGCUGUUGUGCUGGCCCUUUGGGCAAUGUGCACACGGCUCUGGUCACUUGUUUCUCCUGUUCCACCUGUGCACCGCCUGUAGACACGCUGGGUCUAUGAUAUUUGUUAACACACAACAAUGUUAGUUGGCAUGUUAUAUAUAAUAAUAAAAUAUACAACCUUCAACAACGGAUCUCUUGGCUCUCUCAUCGACGAAGAACGCAGCAGUCGGAAGAGCACACGU